AUUGAACGCUGGCGGCAGGCCUAACACAUGCAAGUCGAGCGAGCGGCGGACGGGUGAGUAAUGUCUGGGAAACUGCCUGAUGGGGGGGGCUAACUGCUAGAAACGCUAGCUAAUACCGCAUACCAUCAGAUGUGCCCCGAUGGGAUUAGCUAGUUGGUGGGGUAAUGGCUAACCAAGGCGACGAUCCCUAGCUGGUCUGAGAGGAUGACCAGCCACACUGGAACUGAGACACGGUCCAGACUCCUACGGGAGGCAGCAGUGGGGAAUAUUGCACAAUGGGCGCAAGCCUGAUGCAGCCAUGCCGCGUGUGUGAAGAAGGCCUUCGGGUUGUAAAGCACUUUAAGCGGGGAGGCGUUACCCGCAGAAGAAGCACCGGCUAACUCCGUGCCAGCAGCCGCGGUAAUAC
rnacentral:rRNA from 1 species